rnacentral:rRNA from 1 species
UACGUAGGGUGCAAGCGUUUGUCCGGAAUUAUUGGGCGUAAAGAGCUCGUAGGCGGUUUGUCGCGUCUGCUGUGAAAACCCGAGGCUCAACCUCGGGCCUGCAGUGGGUACGGGCAGACUAGAGUGCGGUAGGGGGAGAUUGGAAUUCCUGGUGUAGCGGUGGAAUGCGCAGAUAUCAGGAGGAACACCGAUGGCGAAGGCAGAUCUCUGGGCCGUAACUGACGCUGAGGAGCGAAAAGCAUGGGGGAGCGAACAGG